rnacentral:rRNA from 1 species
GAUGAACGCUGGCGGCGUGCCUAAUACAUGCAAGUCGAGCGAACAGAUAAGGAGCUUGCUCCUUUGACGUUAGCGGCGGACGGGUGAGUAACACGUGGGUAACCUACCUAUAAGACUGGGAUAACUUCGGGAAACCGGAGCUAAUACCGGAUAACAUUUGGAACCGCAUGGUUCUAAAGUGAAGGAUGGUUUUGCUAUCACUUAUAGAUGGACCCGCGCCGUAUUAGCUAGUUGGUAAGGUAACGGCUUACCAAGGCGACGAUACGUAGCCGACCUGAGAGGGUGAUCGGCCACACUGGAACUGAGACACGGUCCAGACUCCUACGGGAGGCAGCAGUAGGGAAUCUUCCGCAAUGGGCGAAAGCCUGACGGAGCAACGCCGCGUGAGUGAUGAAGGGUUUCGGCUCGUAAAACUCUGUUAUUAGGGAAGAACAAACGUGUAAGUAACUGUGCACGUCUUGACGGUACCUAAUCAGAAAGCCACGGCUAACUACGU